UACAGAGGAUGCAAGCGUUAUCCGGAAUGAUUGGGCGUAAAGCGUCUGUAGGUGGCUUUUAAGUCCGCCGUCAAAUCCCAGGGCUCAACUCUGGACAGGCGGUGGAAACUACCAAGCUGGAGUACGGUAGAGGCAGGUGGAAUUCCGGGUGUAGCGGUGGAAUGCGUAGAGAUCCGGAAGAACACCGGUGGCGAAGGCGGCCUGCUGGGCUAUGGCUGACACUGAGGCGCGACAGCGUGGGGAGCAAACAGGG
rnacentral:rRNA from 1 species